GACGCCAAAGCACCACUCUCCCGCCGUCCCCCUCACUCUCCGCCGCCGGCGAGGUGUGAUGCCACGAAGGUCGGCGGAGGCGCCGGCCAUUUGAUGCGCCCACGGCCGCCUCCUCACGGUGCGCUGUCCAAGCACCACCUCCUCCGCAUCCGCCGCUGCCUUCCACCCGUUUGGUUUAAUGCUGCCCUCGCCCAGGACCCGUCCCUGCCACCCGCUGCCUCCUCCUCCCCCGCGUUUCUCUCAUCCCUCAUACGCUACUGCACGACCAAGCGCGCCCGCCGCCCCGGUGAGCAGGCGCACGCGCGCGCCGUCGCGCUCGGGCUCGGCGCGCACCCCUCGGUGCUCCCCGGGCUCGCCUCCUUCUACAUCGCGCUCGGCGACCUCCCCGCCGCGCAAGCCUCCGUCGAGCGGGCGGCGGGAAAGGCGCGGGCGUUCCCGUGGAACCUGCUCAUUUGGGGGUAUGCCGACCGUGGGCUAUGGGACGACGUCAUCCUCGCGUAUCAGAAGAUGCUGGCGCUGGGCGUGGCCGCCGACAGGUUCACGUACCCGUCGGUUCUGCGCACAUGCGGCGAGCUCCGAGAUUCCGCCAUUGGUCGGGGGAUUGAGAAGCGCAUUCUGACGUGGAGGUAUGGUCUGGACAUGUAUGUCUGGAACGCUCUGGUGGGAAUGUACGCCAAGUGCGGGGAGAUGAAGGACGCGCGCAGGGUGUUUGAUGGAAUGCCUGCGCGGGAUGUUGUCAGCUGGAACUCCAUGGUGUCUGGGUACGUGUCGGCGGGUAUGUGGGGCGAGGCGUUUGACCUGCUGCAGUUGGUUCCUGGGGCGAACAUUGUCGCCUGGAACGCGGUUGUGGCAGGAAAUUUUAAGGCGGGGAACUACGGUGAGGUGAUGAGGUUGGUGUCGCAGAUGAGGACAUGCGGUGGUCCGGGGCUGGAUUUUGUGACUGUUGUGAUUGGCUUGAGGGCUUGCGCUAGGGGUGGGUAUCUGAGGAUUGGCAAGGAAUUGCAUGCUGCCUCUGUUCGUCUAUGCUUUGAUAGGCUUGAGCGCGUGGAGAGUUCAUUGAUCACCAUGUACUCCAGAUGCCAGAUGAUGAGAUCUGCAUACCUCCUGUUCAGAACAUGCUCAACUCAGAGCAUAGUAACAUGGAAUUCAUUGCUAGCAGGAUUUGGAUUCAUGGACCAGGUUGAGGAGGCUAUUUUCGUUUUCAGAGAGAUGAUUUAUUCCUCUGUCUUUCCAAAUGAUGUCACUGUGUUAACUAUGCUUUCACUUAGUGCACGUUUUGGACACCUCUGUCAUGGAAGGGAGAUGCACUGCUACAUUUUCAAGCAUGGACUUGGGGCCUCUAACAUAUUGCAGAACUCACUUGUCGAUAUGUACUCAAAGUCUGGACAGAUGGCAACUGCCAAUAGAGUGUUUGACCAGAUGCAAUGUCAGGACAGGCAUGCCUAUACUUCAUUGAUUUUGGGCUAUGGAAUGCAAAGAGAAGGGCAUCUAUCACUGAAGCUCUUUGAUGAAAUGAUUGUAAACAAUAUCAAGGUGGACCAUGUAACUAUGGUUGCUGUUCUUUCAGCUUGCAGCCACUCUGGGCUGGUAGCUCAAGGGCAACUACGAUUUGCUCAGAUGUAUGAUGUGUUUUGCAUUGCACCGAGGGUGGAGCAUUUUUCUUGCAUGGUUGAUUUGUACUGCCGUGAGGGUUUGCUGAGUAUGGCUGAGGAGAUAGUUAACAAGAUGCCAUUCCAGCCAACUGCCGCGAUGUUGGCAACUCUAAUCGAGGCUUGCCGGAUCCAUGGCAAAACAGAAAUUGGGGAUCGGGCUGCAAAGAGGCUGUUGGCAAUGAGGACAAAUAACCCGGGUCACUACAAAUUGAUUGCGAACAUGUAUAUAUCAGCAAAACGCUGGCCAGAACUAGCUAAAGUUAGGUCAUUAAUGAGCGUCAUGGAACUAAAUAUGAUUCCAACUCAUUCCUUACUGGAGUCAGAAUAUGAGAUAUGUCCAAUUGAAAAAGAUUAUUGCUUAAACCGAUGUCUGCAUGGAGGCUUGUCUGACGACAUGACAGAUACUGAUUUCUCUAGUAGUGAGGAAGUGAAAUGGAAUGAAGCUUUCGGUGGGUAACAGUAAAGCUGGAAUCCAAUAGGCUGUUUUGGGAUCAUGGCUUUCAUUUAAGGAAAAUAUGUUAACAACUUGUAUUCUUUGCAUCAUGGAAGAGAGGAGUUUUUAAAAAAGGAUUAACUGAGGACCUUGCAUCGCACUUCCAGUCAGUGUUUUUAAGGCGUCGCUUAGGCGGCCAGACGCUUGAAGAAUUAUGCUCGCCUAGGCGUCCAGGUGGCAGUCCAACGCCUCGCCUCGCCUUACCGCCUUAAGAACACUGCUUCCAGUAUUGCCUUCAAGCACGAUCACAAACAAUUUGGCAUGAAAACUAUCAGGCCAUACUUUGCAUACCACUACCAGAGGAUCAGAUACGGUAACAAGGAAGCGUUGUGUUGGGCACACUUAUGUGGGCGUCUCAGAUUAUAAGCUGGUUACUCAGCAGUGUGGAGUGGCAACUGGCAACCAUAAUCCAUAAUGACAAAAAUGGAAGGCUCCACUUGGCAGUGUCCAAAUCAUGUCUACGCGUUUGGUCCAGCCAGAGUCAGGAAGCUCACUGGACAUGGUGCCGUCAGAGCCAGAGAUCGUUCACCUGACUCCAUGGCUCCUGAGGUCACUAUCAGUCGUGUUGUCCUUCCUGCUGAACAGGCUGCUGAAUGUGGAAGCACUCAUGGGCUCCAUCCCUGUGCUGGCCAUGUAGGUUAGCGAGCUCGCAGAUGUCAUCUUCACUGCCAUGCUGUUGCUGCUAAACUAUGGCCUCGCAUAUGGAGCCGCAUUCUGGCUCUUCUUAAACACCUGGUCAGAUAUAAACCAUCGCAGCAGCAGCGAUGGAGGUGGAGGGUACACGCUCUCCACACCGCCGCCGCCUGCCAGUGCUGGACAGAUGGUUCCUCGACACCUGCCCUGUGGCAAUCCAUCUACCCUUUGGCAAGCUGAAGGACAUCGUCGUCCAGUGACCCGAACACGCGCGGUCCAGAAAUGUUUCUUCCAUUUCUCUGCGGAGAGCACAAAGAGGCUCAAGACGAAGGCAAACACCGGGAACUGCAACGGUCAUCAUCUCCUCAUUGAAGUCCCUGCUCUCUCACCUUGAGCGAGCAGUGUGCCACCGUCUGCAUACUUUGUUGAAGGAACUCUAUUUUUCUUUUGUGCUGUUAUAUACCAAGUCAGCUUGCCCCCCCAAAAGAAUUCCUCGGAAGAGAGACGUCAUUCACAAACUGCGGCACAAGUUCAUCUGUGUUGCGUCUGACCUACCUGAUCAAAGACGUUUUGGUGACAAUUGUGCAAAACAUUUGGGAUGAUUACUCAUGCUCGUUUCGCAGGUGGGAAUGCUUAAUUGGCGACAAGUUUUAUCUAUCUAGAGAGAUUGCUUUUGUUUUCAGACCGUGAUAGAUUAGCCAACGCCAUCAAAGGAAAUAAUUGAAGCAUGGCUGUGAACCUGGAAAUCACACUCUGAAGUCUGAACACAAUGUAAACAUUCAGAAUUAGCACAUUGGUCGUGUAGCUCAUUGUACAUAAGCUUUAUUUAUGCUCCAGGAGUUGUUACUGUAGUUACAGUGUCCCACCAAAUCAAGAAGGAUAAAAAAUUUAACGUGUGGGAAAACAGAACCGGCCCAGGAGAAGGCCCGUGCGGGUGCACUCUCGCUGCGCCCAACAACACUGACUGGGCCGGCCGUCGAUGCACUGCAUUCCCCCCCUUCCGUCCGCUGCAUCCCUCCGCCGCCACCGCCGCCCAAGCCAGGUGCUGAGGCUUUCGUUGGUCUCUUCGCCGGCGACGAGCACCCACCAGGGCACGGGCCUCAGGAUGCAGUCCUUGGUCCGGAAUGUCUGCCGAGCCGGAAGCCGUGGAGCGGCGGCGAGGCUCCUGGAGGCCGCCGCGGUUCAUCCGGGGGCGGCGCAGCCGUCCUCGGCCGUCAGACACCUCAGGCAUCCUUGCGGGUUCGCUCGUCCGAUCGGGGUAGAUCAACCCAAGCCUGUGCAGCGCCGGACCAUUUUGCGUGAUGGCGGCCGCGUUCCGGCUGCCGCCUCCGGAUUCGGUCUCUGCGCGAAAGUUCUCGUUGCGACGAGGGGUCUGUCGACGGCGGGAAAUGCUGCUGAGGUUGCCUCUGAUUCGGACGAUUCCACCUCUCCUGCGGUUGAGCACCCCCCGCGCAUCAAGUUCAAGAGGCCUGACAAGACCGCUAGACACAUUAUGAAUAUCCUGAACAAAGAGGCGGUCGAAAAGGUCCGCUCGGAGAGGGCGAUUCCUGAUGUGCAGCCUGGAUGUAUCAUUCAGAUGAGAUUGCAAGUUCCUGAGAACAAACGGCGCGAGUCGACACUGAAAGGGAUUGUCAUAGGAAGGCGCAACGCUGGGAUCAAUACAACCUUCAGAUUGCGUAGAUUAGUGGCUGGCGUGGGAGUCGAGUCUGUCUUUCCACUUUACUCACCAAACAUCAAAGAAAUCAAGGUCUUGGACAGGAAGAAAGUCAGGAGAGCUAAGCUGUAUUACCUGAGGGACAGGAUGAACGCACUUAAAAGAUGAGGAUUUCAACUUGUUUCUAGGAUUUCUUUUUGCCGCGCGGAUCAGCAUGGUUUCUCAAGAUGCAAUCACAUUGUUUGGUGUUCCAUCUUUGAAAAAAAUCAUAGUUUGGGGUUGUCAGUUGCCAUGCUCCGAUCUUCUUUCUUUUGAUUUGAUGCGCUGUAACAUUAGUGCGAAAAUUCAUGUGCUCAGGUCUAUUACGUUACUUUCCCAAUCUUUUUUUAGUAUGUGCGUCUGACAUGAACAAGCUGGAACACUUUACUCAUCAAAGCGAAACUAUUGUAUGAUGAUUCAUG